CCCCUUAGAAACGUCACACAUAGUUAUCGAUAUUUUGUUCUUAUAGUACACAUAAGCUAAUUUUUUACGGUUCACUUUUGGCGAUGCUUCCACGAGGAAUUGUCAUCUCCUGCUGACAUAUGUUUUUUAUUAAGGGGAAGGUACACAUGAAAUUUUUCAUUCUAGGCAAUUUUUUUUUCGUUUUUAAAUGAGACAUUGGAGAACCAUCCUGAAGUUGACUUGGUUGCCAUGGGAACGUGUUUGUUAUUUUUUUUAUUUUUUUGCCUUUUUCUCCCUGAUAAACGUAAAUUUAUGCAUGUCAUCUACAUUUCUGACUACACGAAGUUCUUCACAAGGCCUAGAUGCCAACAAUGCAUCAUGGACAGGUGUGCCUUAAAGCAAAGCCUAGUAAAGUAUACCCCUAAAAAUGUGAGUUAUGUGACUAUCUUCCCAGUAUAGGCAGGACAAAAAACCUUGCUGUAAUCAGUAAUUAAAAACUUCACAUAAAACAGCUUGCACUGCGCAUGCACUUGCAAGCAUGGCCUAAACUCUUCAGCCAAAAGCAAAUCCAUGCGCUUUGUGACGUACUGCGUGGGAAAGCUGCGUACAUUAAAGUUCUUUUUCCGCAAAACAUUCGACAACAUGUUAUGGUUCUUAAUUAUAAUACUUGAGAACUUUGUUUUGAUUAUUAAUUUAAAUAAAGAUUAGUUUGUUCUCAGGGGCGUGGGAACCGGGGGCCAGCCCCCCCCCCCCUUCCAAGUUUUGCCAAGUGCCCUUUUUCCGGUAGCAAAGUGCCCUUUUCUUGCGUGGAAAAUGUCUUAAGGAUUGCCUUUUUUUGCCCAAAGCACACUUUUGAAAACAUGAAUUUAUGUUAUUUUCCGAAAAAUUUUUUUCAAUUCCCAGGAAAAUAUGAUGUAUCCGGAAAAAUUUUUGGUAUAUCCGGAAAAUUUUUUUCAUAUUUAGGAAAAAAUGUGGUAUAUCCGGAAAUAUUUUUUUGGUAUGACCGGAAAAAAUUUUUCAAACCUCCCCCUCCCCAACUUUUCCGGGAAAAAAUUUUUAGAUGCCCUUUUUUAUUCGGAAAGUGCCCCUCAAAGCCUGGCCCCCCGCCCAACUUUUAUAAGCUUCCUACGUCCCUGUUUGUUCUUUUACCGAAAGUGACCGGUCAAAAUGACCGGCAAGGUAAGAAUUUGACGGGACAACUCCGCUUUCUGACCGAACAUUGUCCGUUGACCGGCCGUUAUUUCACAUAAAAGGGUAAAAGUCAACGCUCUGCCGAAAGUCGUGAGUUUUCUCGGGAUACUCCGGUUACCCCCCACAGAGCGGAAAGUUGACAAGGGUGGGUUAAGUCAACAGGCAGGUUAGGGGCAGAUCAUUAAUGAGGUACGGACUGAUAGCGGCUGCUUAAAGCGCCAUCUGUAAUUACGCUCACAGUCUUACCUCGGUCUGCUUCACGCCAGUUCCGGUUCUAAUGUAACCAGUCACUGAAAAACCUUGAUAGGGAGUGUGCUGUGCAAUAUCUGUAUCUGCAAGGGGACGACCCAGAGGAGGAAUGAGGGUCUUCCCGAAAUGCAACGCUCGAAUCAGUGCGGC
rnacentral:lncRNA from 1 species